ensembl:lncRNA
CUCCUCCCGCGUCACUCCCGGCCGCAUACCAGCCCGGGCGGGGCGCCCGCGGCCUUGCUCCCCGCCGCCCGCUCCGCCCCGCUGGCCGCUUCCUGCGCCGUCCGCCUGUCCCGGCCACCACCUGCCCAACGCUGGGCUCGCGUCGGAAGUCGGCAGCCCGGGAGCGCCGGUUUUCCCAAACGCCUCGUACCAGUCGGUGAGCAAACUCUUGGUGUUUUUUGGGACAUUAUCCCAUUAUGCCACAAACGGACAGAGCCACUGGAGCAACAGAAACCAACUUCCUUCAAAUUCACACUGGCUGAAGACCCAGCAGCAAGAUGUGGAGACGAUGGUGC